UAAGAAAGAUGCAAAUAAUCUGAUGAAGCUGAAGAGCAUUGUUGCAAUCCCCACAGGCUCAACAAAAAUUACCUACAAGAGAAGGACUGGACAAACUGCAUUAGCUUACUUAAAGAAAAGGAGAUAAGAGUGAAAGCUGAGAAUGUUUUUAAACAUCUGAAGGGUUACUACAAAUAGCAGAACACAGACCCUGUGGUGCAAUAAAGAGAGAGCAAAGAUGGUGCCAGGGCAGUUACAACCACAGCUUCUACUGGAUCAGUGCCUGGCUGAGGAAAGCAGGAAUUCAUGUCUAUGGUCUCCAAGGCCUCUAACUAAACUCAUUAAAACUUGGACACAAAAACUAAACGACUGAAAGCUUGUUUUGGAUGAUCAUUGCUUGAGAGGAUCAGGGAAUGUUUGCUCUGAUGGAUAGGAGGAUCGUGGCAGUUCUGCCCCGGUGGUGGCUCAGUGAAGGACUGAAGUCAGCUCUUCAUUUCAUGGACAUGAGGAACGCCGCUGAUCUCAGCAGGACUGCAUGCACCUCUUGAUCCUGUCACUGGCAAGCUGGUCCCAGAGACAAAGAAAUAGCUCAACUUGAGCUGAAUCUGCAGAAGAAAUCUGUAUGUAACCACGUGUCUUGAUGAAUUAAGCAAUUUUCCUCGAGAUUGUUCCUACAGGUUGAUACCACACUUGGAAAAGGGCAACACAGAGGCUCUGGAACACAGAGCAAAGUAAGGCCUAGUUACUGCUCAAAUCUAGUCCUAAUUAGGGGCUUUUUGCUCCUAUUACUGAAUAAAAGGAAGAAAAUUCCUUAAUUCA
rnacentral:lncRNA from 1 species